UUUUUUAAAAAAUAAAAAAAAAAUAAAUAAUUAAAAAAAUUAUUUGGCAAGUUAAAAAUUAAGCUAGAUAAUUCUUUUUUAGCACACACCAGUUUGAGAAUAUUGGACCAGUACUGUAAGGAGCAGAUCAGUCAGACCCAGACAGGUUGCUCAGUACUGGACAAAUGAAUGGCAGAACUCAAAAUGAAGCUGUCUCCACAGCAACACAAACACACAAAAAAAGCUACAUUUGUGACCCAACACAUUGUAUCUGUUAAAAAUUCUGACUGGUCAGCUGCAAGAAGGGAGCCUUCACUUCACUGAGUUUGCUCUCCAGCAAUCCUGCAAAAUAUAUAGGCGUUAUACAAUAACAUGUGUUUUGCAUUUCCUUAAACGUGGCAGAAAAAAAAAGAGAAAGGUUUUGCUUCCAGCUGUCUGAGGAUUUGAUUGGUUUGCCUAUACUGACUUAUAUCGGGAUCACUACAGUCUCCCUCUGCAACCAAGUAGGCCACAGUCUGGAGAGAAAGGUGAGAUUGCACUGCCAAAGAAAUACAGUAUCAGUACUGUGGUUUGCUGUAUUCUUUCACCCAAAGUCCUGUAAAGCACUUUACAAAUGUGAAAUUGCACCCCAAAAGAGCUAUGCUAUGAAGACACCAUUUGCUUUCUUAGUAAAGAAGAAAGAAAAAAAAAACCACACACAUGACUUUCUCAUUUCAGCUUCUUAAAACACCACACCUCUUAUUUUGCCAACCUGCCAGAAAGACCAGCAAAUUUUGGCAGAUUCUGCAGGUUUUGAGCAACAGGUUUAUAAGACCUUACCAUGCUUAUUUUAAAGACUCAUGAAGAAACUGAGAUACUAACAAAUACCAAAUUCAAAAGGAGUUAGCAACAAAACUCCAAGUGUACCUCUGGAUGAUGAUUCCUUGCGCAGCUACAGGAGCCUCUUAAAAAACCCUCAACACCCAAAACUUUCUGCCCCAUGACAUCCUCCUCAGUUUGAAUGACAUCCCAACUGUGCUCCUGAAUCUCAAAAAAGCAAACAGUUAUUACAGACUAUACAGUUUCACGUUUCGUUUGGUCUACAAUGCACCUACAGCUAAUAUCAAUUAAAAUCUCCACUAGUCCAAGAUGUAGAAAGAAACAGCGGACUUCGAGCUUUUGCUAAAUAAAGCUAAGGAAAGAUAACA
rnacentral:lncRNA from 1 species